AGAGGCAAAGACGUUACUGCAGAGCCUCCUGAAGAAGCAUCCCACCACUGCGCCAGGCAUGCUGUCUCCAUAGCUAAUUACAGGUGUGCAUAAUUAAGCCCUGAGAGCAGGAGAGGUGGCUGCGGACAUGGCAGAAGCAGAAAAAGCCACCGCGUCUCACCCUGCUUUCUGCUCUGCUACUCUUCUGCUGACGCUGGUGUCCCCAGGUGUGAACCGAGAUGGGCUGGUGGAAGUGGUCCACAGCUACCUGAGUUCAGACCCUAUUUCAGGCCACUGUUAUUGUUCCUCCCAUUAAAAUAAACAUUAUCACCGUCAGUAAGCUCAUUUGGGGUGAAUUUGCCCACAGGUGUUCCCUCUGCACUAGCCAAGACCUCAUGGCUGGUCCAGGCACCAACGCAAAUCACACAACUUACACCAGUCAGACCUCAAAGCACUUGAAGGUAGUAAUACUGAAACUUGAAAAAGCAGCCACCCCCAAAAUCACAGGAAACACACAGAGCUCGAUCAAUGAUAGGAAGAGGGUGUAGCAAGGAAGACAAAGGCUUUACAGUGUCCUGAAAGCUGCAUUAUUGGAGUUCCCAUGGCAUCCUAUUUUAAAUAUUUAAGCAGAGGAGAUAAAAAAUGAUUAGUUAACGUAUCUUUUUAAACAAACAAUAAGGCAUAUGGCUUGUUUAGAUUAAACAUCAGACAAAUAUUUAUCCUGCUAACUUUUCAGAGACAGACAAGCCACAAAACCAAGGGAAAAGCGCUGCUUAAGCAUCCCAGUUAAUAUAAUCUAGCCUUUGUUUCUCAAAGGUUCUUCCACAGAGAUUUUUUUUUAUUUCAACUUAUUAAAUUUGCACAGUCAGCUUGCUCCCUGACUAACUCAAGGCUUGGAAACAAGGCAGGGAGAGCUCAGAAAACGGAGGAACGAAAGUCCAUUUUCACUCAGGAACCAAGCACUUAGCUGAGGUACACAGCCACAACGCUUUCCCUCCCAAGCCACGCAAUGCUACCAGCUUGGUUACAGUGUCUCCUUUUCCAAAAUACACAGCUUUCUCCUCAUGUAUCUUGUACGUUUAGUGUAUUUUUAGUUAACUAACAUUCUCAAGUAUUGUGGGUCUACUAUUUCGUAAGCGAAUUCCACUUUCUGUUCCAAAGCAACUUGAUGUGUGCAAAAAAUAAUCAAAGAAAUAAUUCAACAUCACGCAAGACCGCAGUCAUUUUUAACCCAAAGUGAGAAAAAAUCAAAAUCUGAAUAAGAAGAUAUUUUAUGUUUAUGCUUAUAAAUAUAUAAGCAUCUCAAAGCUAACAGCAAUACAGCAAAUCUUCCCAGUGCUUGAGAGAGACAUCCCUUCAACGAAGUGUUUUAUUUUGCUAGGAGUCUAAACAUGUUUAUAGUUAUUAAUCAGCCAGUCAGCUCUUAGGAUCAGAACUAAAGUACAAACAAGAUCAAAACUGCAUUUUAUGUACCCAUCGUGCCCAAGGUUUUUCUUAUCUUUGUAGCUUUUAAGCAAUCAUCUGAUAAUUUAUGUGUAAAGUCUAACGGGCAUGCAUGACACAACCGAGUUCUGUGAGAGCAGAGCUAAACCAAGGCAAACCCUCCUCUAAAAACCCGAUACACAAUAAUAACCCCAGCAUGUUUAACCCCCUUAACGGAUAUUGCAAGCUCAGGAAGGGUCAACUUCGUCUCCCGAGCCUUCCCUUUUUAAAACAAAAGCCACCCCACUUGGCAAGGGAAACGCCACUAGCACCGCUUGACUGCUGGGACCCUCCUGUCCCCAAGCAAGGGGACAGCGCUUCUCACCCGCCCGGCACUCGCACAAUGUCCCCGGCUAUAUUUAGUGGGAGGCAGGAGGGAGGAAGCCAGAUGCAAGGGAAGCGCGGCACAAUGGGGCUAGAUGACCCAGCAGGAUGUCCCUCUUCACAAAACCUGACGGCGCUCGCUGCUGGUGACACCGACAUCCUCACAGCAAGCUGCUGCAUACUGCAAGCGAAAGGGGAAAAACGCAUGAGUGGCACCUCCUGAUGCCUAUCAAGGGGUCUUCAGUAUCAACAAAACCCAGCCAACAGGCGGGGGACCUUGCCUGAAGGUCGCCAAGCAGGGACAGGACAACAGCUCCUUGCUUGAAGGUGUGAGGAGAGGGAAAAACGAGCAAGAGAAACCCCUGGGGAGUUUUUUUUGGAAAGGCCAGGCCAGCAGCUAAAGCUGCGGGGACCUGCCUGAGGUGGAACAAAGCGGUUUUCUCCCAAGGGCUGGAGAUGCCAAGGUGUGUGACGGUGGCCACCAAGGGACCGUCUGCGGCAGGCAGGCAGAGAGGCAGUGGGCUGGGGUGUGCAUGGGAAAAUGGCCCUGCAGGGGCUGGGGGUGAUGGGAAGGCAUUAAUGCAUCCUGGAAAGUGAAGGCCGGCUGCUGGACGCCUGCCAAGCACCAGAGAGCCUGAUGGAGGUUUUCGGAAGCAACAAAACUGCUGUUUCGAGAAGAACGAUGUGGUCUCUCAGAAAGAAAAAAAAAAAGCCGGCUUACUAUCACUGCAAUAUGCUACUGCCCUCACCCCUUCAACUUGUGCCAGUGAUGCUGAGGCUUUAGGUUUCCAACCCAAACAGCAUCAGCUUUUUCCAUCUUACAGCCCUGGGUGACUCCAUGGAAGAGUCUUCUUCACAAGUCUCUGGCAAAAUCAAUUUUGCUCAUACCUGAGUGCAGCAGCUUCUGACUUCUGCUCCCAUGAGGUCAGCACAGAGCAGACAACUGGGCCGAGGGCAAGGGGACAAGUCACCUCAGCCACCACUGGUGCUGCCCACCCUGGCUUCAGACAGAUGCAGUACAGCUGGAGCCUGAAAUGCUGCAGGGAACCCAACGGCCAGUGCACACCCAUGAGCGUAAGAGACACCCACCAGCUCCUUCCAGUGCUUCAUUUAAAGGUCAUGAUGGACAACUACCACACCACCAGCCCCAUGUCCCACACACUGCUUCCUGACCAGCACUCAGAGGAUGUGUCUGGUUUUUGGGAUGAAAACCAGCUUCAGUGUGGGGCACAAACAAAUGGCCCUUAUGGCGUCCCCUUUUCUCACCAACAAACAGAUCCUAUGAGGAUGCAAUACAGUGGGACUCAGCUCCGGGGCUUAUCCAAAACCUAGCACAAAAUACACAAAUGAUACGGUGUUGUACAAUGAACAUUUCCAUGCCGCAUGUGAAAAAAAAAAAACAACAACAACAAAUACGACCAAAACACCCAACCACACGCUUUGGGUCACGAGUGUUUUCCCACACCCGUCCCUUCCCUCGACGGACAGGGGCCGGUGCCCCAUCUCUCCCUCCAGCCUGGAUGGAGGGAGUCACCAGGCAGCAGGACCACUAUCUGACAGAAAGCCCGGAAUGACCAAGCCCUUUCCCAGAAAGCAGCCUGACACAUCCUCGCUUUCAUUCCUGGCAGCCUGUGGUGAUGAUGAUGGACAGCGCGGUUUGGGUGUCUGUGAGCAAGACAGUUGUCAUGCCCACCCUGAAUGGGGCAUUGUCCUCUGUAACGUCAGGCCAGACUUCCCCAGCCCGAGCCUCCUCACUGCUGCAGUGUCAGAGACCGGAUUAACUCCUGCGAGCCUGUCCUGGAUGGAAAUGUUUAAUACCUCGGUCAGAAGCAGUGCCCACACCUCUGCUGGCACAACUGUGCCUGAGCAAAGCUCCAUCUGCCUUUCGCAUUUCGCUUGUGCAUUUGCAUGGCAGCUUCCGCAGGGUUUUUAAAACAAGAAAGGUUGUUUAUCAUAAACAAAGGAUAAAAGCAGAGAGGUAUAAAAUACAAAACGCCUGCAGCAAUCCCGUCCCCUCUGAGUGAAGCACGAUACACCCUGGGAACUCCAGAGAACCACUUGGAGGUGUUCAUGGUCCCACCGCCCUGAGUAUCCCUAUAGCACCACUUGAACCCCAAGGCACCGCUCUCAGCAGGAAGCUGCCACACACAAACCAGGGCCCCGAGUCCCCCGUUAUCUCCCUGUGAGAGGAAAACCAGAAAGCUUCAGGAAAUGGGGCCACCCAGACUCGAUUUCACCUUGGCACCACCAAGAGAUUCAGGGUCCCAUCUUAAUUCAAAGCAGCAGCACCACAGCCACGAUAUGACCUCUCCACUCCAGAGCAUCAGAACAUAAAUCACCAAAAAAGCUGCAGCAGCAGAAUAAAACUCAUCCAGCACAUGCUGCUUUGGGUGGUGGGGACUUCCUCAAGCUUUAGCACCUGAACCUCAGACACAGGGGACUGAGCCACCAAGCACUUUUCUCUGGAUGGUGCUGGGUGGAGAAAAAAGCAAUCAAGAGGCCAGCUUAGGUCCCAUCUUGUGGAGAUGAUGCCUCCAGGCCAGGUAGAAAGCAGGAUGCUCGGUGCUGGGAGCAGGGAUGGGAUAGAAAAAGGCAGCGUUAAAUGUCACUGCUUGCCCCAGCAUUAAAGCCACAUUGCUGGCACCCACAGGGUUGUAAAACCCAUGUCCUGUCCCUGCUGGGUAGGAAAAAAAAUAAUAGAAAAAACAGAGAAGAAAUAAUAAUAAAAACAAAUAAAAAGAGGAAGAAGCACAGCAGAAUCCCUCUGAAGCAAGGAGGGUCAACACAAGCCAGCCCUCCCCUUGUGCAUGAGGCUGCGUGGCUCCAGGCAGGGGCAUUCUCAAACAGCAUCCUCACUCCCACCUACCCCCCCCCCCCCUCCAUUUCCCUCCUCUCUCUCGCCAGCUUUAACUCAUUAAGCUAAUGGAAGCCAGUCUCUUCCCCCACAGGUCACCAUGGCAAUGUUUCCAAAAGAAAAGCAAAAAAAAAAAAAAAAAAAGAAAAAAGAAAAAAGAAAAAUCCCCAGCAUCACACCAUUCUUCCUGGGAAACCCUCGCGGCUCUCCAAGGCUUGCCACCCCCCCGGGGAUGCACUUUGAGAAGGGGGGAAGAGAGCAGAGGCAUUCCUCCUGCAUGGAGCUGCAGGGCCAGGGCUCCCAAAGCCUUUGUGGGGAGGGAAGAAGAGAUUUUUGUCUUCAUCCUCGGACAGAUUGGCUCCUGGACUCUGUGAACGCAAGGGCUUUGUGAGCCUCCCAGGGAGAAAGGGAGUGCUGCAGUGGGGCCUUGUCUGGAGAUUCUGAAUGUGGCACCGUCAUUUGGAGGUGGGAAGGAGAUUCCUUCCUACCCUGCAGCACCAAUCCUGGAAGAACACCAUCUCCAGAGCCAAAAAGUCCUGGUUGUGACCUGCUUCCUUUCAGCCUGAGGGCAGGGAGUGGGAAGUCCCUCCACAACCGGGUGGAAAAGGGAUGGCUGCAUGUGGCAGCCCGUGAGGGUGGGUCUCCCGCACAUUUUUGUCCAGCUGCCCGUGGAAUUGGCGCAGCAGGUCCUCCCAGCCCUGGAGUCUCACCCCUAUCUCAUGGUGCCAGCAGGACCAACAGCGCUUUCCUGAAAACAGGGCGAAAGAAGGGAAAAGCAAAGGGUUUGCUGGUGACAACUGGGAAGCUCCUUCCCCUCUGCUCCCUCUCCUAAGAAAAACGCUGCUGCUCCAUGGCUGCUAAUGCCUUCCAGAUGGAGCACCACUGUCGCAAAGCAUGGAAAGCUCUCCAGGGUUCGCGUGGUACACAUGCGGAGACGAAAGGACGUACACGCUGCCCUUGUGGGGAAGAGUAACGCGGGAAGGAAGCAAAGGUCAUGCCUUUGUUGUAAAAGCAAAGGGAAAGAGUGGAGAAAACCCAAACCAGCGCCCACAUGCGUGCACACCCAUAUCCUAAGUGAUCCCACAGAGGUGCUACAGUCAGAUUUCUUCUGCUCUGCCUACAUGGGAAGCAUCGGGUGGAGAUUUCAGCUUCCAAACAUUGGCACAUAUGUGCGAGCUGGCAGGAGGCCUCUGGCACUGCAACAGCCCAUGGUAACAGCACCGAAGGCCCAGAGCUAUCCUCUGCUGCCCCAAACUAGACCACCUCUGGACAUCUGCUGGAGGAUGUCCUGUGGACAUCGUAUGCCUAAACAUGUGGCAGCUUUUCACAGGAAAACUCAUUUAAGCAGCUCUGGAAAGCAAGACAUUAUGGCUGACACAGGUCCCCAUGGCAGAGCCAAUGGAAGGGGACAAGGGAGGAGAAUCACUACUCGUGGAUCUGAAGGACUGAGGAGUUUCUGAGCUUCACCUGUCUUUGGUGCACCCCGGUGAUCUAACAGGGAUCCCUUCUGAGCAGGAACCAAAGCUCUUCCCUUUACAGACCCUGCUCGGGACCAACCGUGGAAACAACCGAUGGCUGGAGUAACCUUAACUCUCCCACCAUCACCACAGGGGACAACGCUGCCAGCCUCAGGGACUCAGUGGCAUCUAAGCUUGCUCACCUAAAUCCUUCUGCGCUCCUGGACAACCCCUCCUGCAUUUCUGCUCUUUAUUUUGGCAUCCUCAGAAGCCUGAGGAGCAUGAUUGGCUGCAUGUUAGAGGCAACAAGGUUGCCUGUCUGAACGUAACCCAAAUAGGUGAUGACACAAGUUGUUUUGCAGUUGGGUAGGUCUGAACCCAAAAUAACUCACUGUCACCAAUUUUAAGUAAAGACUUACAAAGCCAGGAGGGAAGCAGCCCUAAGUCAUAACCAAUUUUAGCUUGCAGAGUAAAUGAUCCUCAGAAGCUGGUCCCAAUGAAGGGAUACGGGGAAAUAUAAGUGGCUUUUUUAAUAGAAACUGAAUUUUGUGCUAAAAAUACAGAAAAGUGUUAUAAUUACUGUCAGAUAAAUGUUAUAAGCCAAACACUUAAAAGGAAGUAUUGACAAAGUGUUUUCCACUAAAACUACUACUUUAAAAAGAAUUCCUUCAAUACUGAAGAAGUUGAUCUGUCAGUGAUUAAAGGAAAAUCUAGAACCAGCAAACUUCAGUCUUCUUUUCUUUAGGGGAUUAAAUAAUUAAAUUGUCCUUAGCUGUAAAUAGGCUCAUUUCCAAGAGACAAAAAAAUGCAUGUACUUCUACUGGAGAAAACCAAACAACCACAUACAUGUUAUUUUUGCAACUGCCCAUUUUGCUCGCUGUGCUUGGUUUCCACUUCCGAGCGUGCAUGCCUGGCCACUGUUCGCACUUCCAUUGGUAAACCACUGACACACUGGGCCUUGAAGAAGAGCACAAGGACCUAGAAAUAGGACUCCUGGGCUCUUGUAGCCCUUCCAUGAGCAGUUUAGCCAAAGGUCUGCUGUUGAGUUUAACCCCCUGCCAUAGUACGUUGGAGCCAACUUUACAAGCUGCCUAGUGUUUCUGGAGGGAUGGGGAUGAAGAUGGGAAUUCCUCUGCAACAAAAAUCCCAUCUCUGAAGCCCUGAAAAUGGCUGCUUUUUGCCCAAUUACCCUUGAAAAGGGUAAUUAAGAAAAAAAGCCACUGCUGUGGGCAGAAAGCACAGCACCCUGCUGAUCACUUUGCCAAUGCUGUUUGGAUGAUGUAGCACUGCUCAGCAUGUGCCAGGGUGCUCUGCACUGCUGGCCACAUCUGGAACCCAUGGUUAGGAGCAUCCUUGCAUGCCACAGGGACAGCGGGAAACCCCAGGGAAGCUCAGAUAUGUGUCCUGAUUCCUUCCUGCACGCUGCUAAAUAUGCUUUAAUGCAAGCAUCAGACCCCCUGAGGCCUGCACAACCCCCUGAAGGUACUUGUGAAAAGCAAUGCUGUGGACGAGGAUGCCCAUUAAAGCUCGCCAGCGGUGGGGAUCACAUCCUGAUGACUUCAAGGGCAGACGUGUAGCUACUUGGGAGCCAGACCUGGAAUUGCCACCUUAAUCAGCCUGGCUGCUAGGGGAAAAGAGCCCCAAAUACAAAAAAAUAAUUCAUCGCUUUUCAACUUUCUACUGAGGCAGCGAUACCCAGCAGGAUGGCGGAGAAAGGGAGUGACAGCGACAGCCUCCGUGUCCAAAUUUAAUCUGUUAUUGCGUGCCUGUCUGAAUCCUCACACCCCUCCCAAGCAGCGCCGGUGCCGCUGUGCUCCGGGGACAAGAUGCAAGCCAGCCGAGGAGUUCCUAACAAAACGUGAAAAGCCAGGGGGAAAAACUACAACAGAAGUAAAGCCGACCCUCUUCCCACCCCCAAAGCUACAUGGAAAACCGCACCCCAAAUCUGGAUGUUUUGGCACUCUUCCUCGCGGCUUGGCCCCGCUCCCAGGGAUAAGAUAAUCAAAGCACUGGGUCGUGUUGCUCCAUCCCUUGCUAUUAGCAGCUGGAUGCAGAUUUCCUAUUUUGGGUCGGCGAGACAAUCCGGCGGCAGGGGCUCUCAUAGCUCAUUGCAUCACACUUUUAAAAAUAAAAAUAAUAAUAAAAAAUAAUGGGACUUUACACAGUGGAUGAAUAGAUACCUAAGAAAUAGUUAACCAGUUGUCAGCAUCCAACUCAUCCAUACUGCUAGCUAUCUUGAAUGAUGGUUUCUGACCUGGUAUCAACAUGUCUCACAGCCUCCAUACGCUCAGAAGCAAUAUCCAUGGCUGAGAGGCAGGAUGGGCUUGGGAUUUACAACUAUAACCAAACCGAGGAGGAGGACCAGCAGGAAGCACCAAAGCAGUUAACAAGCCGUUUGCAGUGGCGUGAGCUCCCCCGGCCAAAUGGGGAAUGCCAUGAGCAGAGGCUGCAACAAGUGCUCAGGAUCAGAUGUCUCGUGAGCAAUCCCCGGAAAAAGCCCUGCAAGCUCUGCAGCCGGGGCUGGGGAGCUGGUGGAGGAGAGGUGGCUGUGGUGGAAACCCGGGUUAUUUCUGGGCAGAGGCGAAGCCCUGCAGCAGGCUAGAGGCAGAUAAGCAUCGCGCCUUGUGCCCCUGGCAGCUGCCUCGCUCCCCACAUCCCCUUCCUCCUAUUUCCCCAUCGCUGUCCAAUCCGGCAUGCAACAUUAAUUAUUUUUCCUCUCCCCCAACACACACGUGGGAGAAGCAGCCUUUACGAACCAGCUUUAACUGUUGUUUUUUUUUUGUUGGGGGGGGAAAGGACACAGAGGAAAAACCAGGAGCCAGCAAAGUGCCGCUUCCCCCCUCCCUAAGUACAAAACCCCACUGUGCACGUUUGCCUCCUCUGAGGGUUUUAUUGCUUCCCCCGUCCCACAGCACAGCCUGGCUGGCUUUAAAAGCCUCCCGACAGAUCCUGGGAUGCACCAGGCACCAAAAAGCAGUUUGCAAGGGGAAAAAAAAACAGCUCCAGAGGCCAGCCCUGGGCUUAAGAGAGAGGUUCCCGAAGUGGGAACAUCGUGUGCAUGUGGAUGUUGGACAGCAGACAGAAAGAGGAGGGCGUGCGCCUCUUUGCAGGGAGUGUCAGUUGUCGGGGGGGGGGGGGGGGGGGGGGGGGGGGGGGCGGGAAAAGGAAAAGAAAGGAAAAAAAGGAAUCCCAGACUUCAGGCUCAAGAGGGCUGGCUAGAAGAGGCAGCAGCUGAAAGAAAUGCUCUGCUAUUAUUACUGCAUGGAAAUUACAGCCGCCAGAAAGAAUCUGGGCAGAGCUGUUGCUGAGUGUAACUUAAAAAAGACAGAAAGCCUCGGGGCUGGGAUGUCCAACGCACCAGGAAGCCAGCGAGGUGGUGGGACUCAUCCUGCUCCUGCAGUGCAUUCCUCAUUGCCAUCUAAAUAGCAACGGCCAAGGACGAAAACGAAACAAAAAAGGGUUGAAAAGCAAAGGAUGCUCCCAGGUUUUGGGAGAAAUGUGUUUUGGGACAUAUCAGUUUGGCCUCAGAAGGAAGGAGAUGUUUGGACCAGUUCCUGGAAAGGAAGGAGUUUAACUUUUUUUCUUUCUCUCUCUCUCUCUUUUUUUUUUUUUUUUUAAAAGUUUAAAACAUACAAAGGGUAAAUGCUCUAAAUACAGCUCUGGGUAUGAGGCGGGGGGAGCAGGCAGCUGCCGUGCAAAACCCGCUGCUGCUUACAGCAUGAGCAGCUGGGCAAAAGGGCUCUGGCAUGCUGCUUGAUGGGCAAGGAGAGCAAAUUGCAGAGAAAUCCUUCCAGGAAGGUAACUCCAGCUACAGGCAAGACAAGGACAUUGGUUAGGUGGGUCCAGCUCUGCAUGUUUCCUACACCUAUAUCCUCAAAGCUAGAAGGGGUUCUGUCCACCUGAAUAACCCCACCAGCACCCUUUGGUGAGGAGUGGUUUUUGGCCUUCCUGCUCCUAAAUAUGUUAAAAAAAAAUCUUUUUAAAAGAAAUCUUUUCUCAGCAAGUAACUGGUCUUUCAGGCAUAAGGGAACACCACUGCGCAGGACGGAUGCUCCCCUCAACCCCAUGGGGGAAAAGCACAGCAUCGGGACCAAUUUUCAUUUGUGGAAAGGAAAAGACUCAAACCUCCUCCUUCCCAUGACAUACAGAGCACCAAGGACCUUCGGCUGGAAGUUUCAAUCCAACAGCAGCUGCGUUUCUUAAGAGCAAACGACAUUCACUUACUAAUGAAAACAGGAUUUAGGCUACGCUGAGUAACUUUUUCCAUGAAAACCAUACAUCCUUCCACCACCAGGCAGCACAGAAUGUAACGAAGGCAUUUUCCAAAGGAAAGAAAACAAGGAGAAAGCCUCGUCCCUUUGUCACGGUAACCCUGCCUUCUGCUUUUGUACUGCAAUAGCAUCUAGGGGCUCCAGUUUCUCUGGGGACUCUUCUGGUCUCCAAGUUGCAUAUCCUUAUUUUCUAAAUGUCCCUUUUUUCCUCUAGGCACCUAGCACCCUGUGCAGGUUACCGAAUUUCUCUUUGCUUGCCCAGCUCUUCAGAGCGUGAGGUCUCAGAGGCUCAUUGCAAACACAUCUCACAGUCCUCAGUUUACAUUUUUGGGGACUGCUUCCAUGAGAGCAAUAGUAAAAGCUGCAAU